GACGAACGCUGGCGGCGUGCUUAACACAUGCAAGUCGCACGAGGACGGGAGCUUGCUCCCGAGCCGAGUGGCGGACGGGUGAGUAACACGUGACCAACUUGUCCUAGGGUGAGGGACAACCUGGGGAAACCCGGGCUAAUACCGCAUGAUGUCUCGAGGUCGCAUGGCCAUGAGAUCAAAGAGGGCCUCUGCUUGCAAGCUCUCGCCCUGGGAGGGGGUCGCGGCGUAUCAGCUAGUUGGUAGGGUAACGGCCUACCAAGGCUACGACGCGUAGCGGGUCUGAGAGGACGACCCGCCUCAUUGGGACUGAGAUACGGCCCAGACUCCUACGGGAGGCAGCAGUGGGGAAUAUUGCGCAAUGGACGAAAGUCUGACGCAGCGACGCCGCGUGUGGGAGGAAGCUCUUCGGGGUGUAAACCACUGUCAGGAGGGAGAAACUCGCCGGCCCGAACAGGAACGGCGAUUGACGGUACCUCCAAAGGAAGCGCCGGCUAACUCCGUGCCAG
rnacentral:rRNA from 1 species